UACGGAGGGUGCGAGCGUUGUUCGGAAUUAUUGGGCGUAAAGCGCGUGUAGGCGGUUUGUUAAGUCUGAUGUGAAAGCCCCGGGCUCAACCUGGGAAGUGCAUUGGAUACUGGCAGACUUGAAUACGGGAGAGGGCAGUGGAAUUCCUGGUGUAGGAGUGAAAUGCGUAGAGAUGUGGAGGAAUACCGAUGGCGAAGGCGGCUUACUGGACCAACACUGACACUGAGGCACGAAAGCGUGGGUAGCAAACAGG
rnacentral:rRNA from 1 species